CGGACACGAUUUGGCAACGCGACGAGAAUUUUCAAUUUUCAAUGACAUUUAACUUUAAUAUUUUUCAGUGUUUUUCAAAUAUUCGGGACCACUUAAGCAAUUUUAGCUAUGCGGUCUAAAUCCCGUUGACGGUUUUAUUUGAUUUUGAAAACCGAACAUUCGCGUCGCAUUGCCGAAUCGCGUCCGGUAGUGUGGGCCUUUAUAGUCGCUGGGGCUAUUGCGAUGAAAAUUGAAAGCUUUGCGUUUUACACACGGAGCUGUCAAUUUUGUGUGAGAUGACCGCUGGAAAGUUAAAAUCUUCGGGACUUAGAGUUGAGUUUCCAUUGACAGUAUUGUCUACUGAGUCAUUUUUGAAAAGCAAUAUAGUAUAAUACAGUCGCUCGAGGUCAACGUACUUUUUAUUGUCCUAUUGAUUUCAAAUACCUCAUUAUUAAACAAAUUUUCUUACUAUGUUGUCGUGUCUGAAUAGUGAUAUAUUUUUCUUUUUAAAGGUGAUUAAAGCAGCAAAAUUGAAAUAAAGUCAUGAAACAUAGCUACUGUAGUAGUAGUAUGGUAUAACUUGUAGGCUAUGUGCUGUAGUAAUUCAGAUAUUGUGCAGAAAAGAUGUCAUUUUUUGUAAAAAUACCUGAUUAAAUGUUUAGUUUGAUAACUGUUCUGAGCAGUGUUGUAGUCCUGAAACGCUAACAAAGGAGCUUGAAACAGGAGGGGAGAGGGCAUGCAGGGCCAGGUUUUCUCUCGAUAUAUUUUUAAAACGGCUGCAUGAAUCCAAGCAUGCUUUCAUGUCGUUCUGCAUUACAGCAGAAGG